AACGAACGCUGGCGGCAUGCCUAACACAUGCAAGUCGAACGAGACCUUCGGGUCUAGUGGCGCACGGGUGCGUAACGCGUGGGAACCUGCCCUUAGGUUCGGAAUAACUCCCCGAAAGGGGUGCUAAUACCGGAUAAUGUCUUCGGACCAAAGAUUUAUCGCCUUUGGAUGGGCCCGCGUUGAAUUAGCUAGUUGGUAGGGUAAAAGCCUACCAAGGCGACGAUCCAUAGCUGGUCUGAGAGGAUGAUCAGCCACACUGGGACUGAGACACGGCCCAGAUCCUAAGGGGAGGAAGAAGGGGGGAAAAUGGAAAAAGGGGCGAAAGCCGAAUCAAGCAAGGCGGGGGAGGGGAGAAAGGCUUAAGGGUUGAAAAGCCCUUUACCCGGGAUGAUAAUGACAGUACCGGGAGAAUAAGCACCGGCUAACUCCGUG
rnacentral:rRNA from 1 species